GGUGGCUAAGUGGUAGAGUGCUUGCCUUGCAUGCAUGAGGUCCUGGGUUCAAUUCCUCAGCACCA
rnacentral:tRNA from 1 species